rnacentral:rRNA from 1 species
GAUGAACGCUGGCGGCGUGCCUAAUACAUGCAAGUCGAGCGAACAGACGAGAGUGCUUGCACUCUCUGACGUUAGCGGCGGACGGGUGAGUAACACGUGGGUAACCUACCUAUAAGACUGGGAUAACUUCGGGAAACCGGAGCUAAUACCGGAUAAUAUUUAGCUUCGCAUGAAGCAAUAGUGAAAGACGGUUCUGCUGUCACUUAUAGUUGGACCCGCGGUGUAUUAGCUAGUUGGUGAGGUAACGGCUCACCAAGGCAACGAUACAUAGCCGACCUGAGAGGGUGAUCGGCCACACUGGGACUGAGACACGGCCAAGGCUCCUACGGGAGGCAGCAGUAGGGAAUCUUCCGCAAUGGACGAAAGUCUGACGGAGCAAUGCCGCGUGAGUGAAGAAGGUGUUCGGAUCGUAAAACUCUGUUGUAAGGGAAGAACAAGUACGUUAGUAACUGAACGUACCUUGACGGUACCUUACCAGAAAGCCACGGCUAACUACGUG